ACUACGGGAGGCAGCAGUGAGGAAUAUUGGUCAAUGGACGAGAGUCUGAACCAGCAAAGUAGCGUGAAGGAUGACUGCCCUAGGGGUUGUAAACUUCUUUUAUAAAGGAAUAAAAAGAGGCACGUGUGCCUUUUUGCAUGUACUUUAUGAAUAAGGAUGGGCUAACUACGUGACAGCAGCCGCGGUAAUACGGAGGAACCGAGCGUUAUCAGGAUUUAUUGGGUUUAAAGGGAGCGUAGAUGGGUUGUUAAGUCAGUUGUGAAAGUUUGCGGCUCAACCGUAAAAUUGCAAGUGAUACUGGCAGUCUUGAGUACAGUUGAGGUAAGCGGAAUUCGUGGUGUAGCGGUGAAAUGCGUAGAUAUCACGAAGAACCCCGAUUGCGAAGGCAGCUUACUAAACUGUGACUGACAUUGAUGCUCGAAAGUGUGGGUAGCAAACAGGAUUAGAUACCCCAGUAGUC
rnacentral:rRNA from 1 species